AGUUGCACGUGGCAGUGCAGAGGAACGUCGGUGGGUGAAUUCAGACGGAGCCCUUGGAAAGAUGAUACCCCAAAUUAUAAUUUUCGGAUAUAAAUACGAUGCUGUAGUCAUCAAAAACGGAUUGUAACUUGCAAAACAUGCGGGAAGAAAAUUACAGACAGAGGCAACAAUUUCCAACUCUUUUCGACAUUUGAAGCUGCACAAAGAACGGGCCUGUUUAGCCAGCACAUCUACUUCCUCAUUCCCUUCCACCACCACAUGGGCUGGGACCAAAUCACAACCUAUCUGGAUACCCAUCUGUCUCACCCGGGCAUGAAUUUGGAGGAUCUCAUAUAACAGGUUGGAGGCUACUGCUAAGAAAACUUCACAGAUAAUCUGCAUCUCCCGCAAAGAAUGAACCACGCAGGUGUGGUUUUCUGAUCACCUGACUGAUCCAUCAACAUGAUUGGUCAUCAUCGAAACAGGCUUUAGGUUUGGGGAUCCUGGUUGGGCCUGGGCGUCGGAAUGCUUCCAAGGGGAUCUGAGAAUAGAUGGAGAGAAAAAAGGGAUCAAUAUCCUUAAGAUAUAUAACUGUAGGUUGUUUAUCAAACUGACCACAAGAUGGUGCCAAAUAAUGUUUUUUGGCAUAGAGUAGCAAAUAUCUAGCAGUUUUUGACAAAACACAUUACAAAAUAAUUAAUUACAUGCUUAUUAAGACAUGUACAGGCUCAUG